AUGAGCACAUUUUUGGAAUGGUCCUUAUGAACGACUGGAGUGCACGAGACAUUCAGAAGUGGGAGUAUGUCCCUCUCGGGCCAUUCCUUGGGAAGAGUUUUGGGACCACUAUCUCUCCGUGGGUGGUGCCCAUGGAUGCUCUCAUGCCCUUUGCUGUGUCCAACCCGAAGCAGGUAAGCACAUUCUCUGCAGGAAGCUCCCAAACCCAGCCCUGCUGCAUCUGAGGCUGCUUGCCCACUGAGUGGACAUGCCAGGCAUGCAGACCAUCAGGAGGGAAGCUCUGUGCCCACGGCAUGCCCACAGCAGAGUGCCUGGGAGUUCCUGGCCACGAUUACUUCCAGGCAGCCAGGGCAUCAUUCUCCCUUGUGGUUUCCCUGGCCCUGGCACAGUUCUUGGAGAAAACACAGAAUUUUGUAACCUUAAGAAUCUUGCAAGACCAGGGGAUCUGGCCAGUUGGCAGGAGGAGUCCCUGCAGGUACCAACAUUGCACAACCUCCCAGGUGGCCAUCAAAUCUUGUUCUGUGCAAAUGGCGCCACCUGGACCCCAACUCAUAGAAUGCAGCUUGGAGCCCAGCAACAGGGAGUCCCUGCAGCCUCUGGUUCCCAGCACCGCUUGGUCUACCACUGGGUCUAGGCCUUGACCCCUGGUUCCAGUCCUCCCUUCUCAGCCUGUUGCAAUCUGCCCCACUCCAUCACUGGCAACACCUGGCCAGAGUCACCUGUGACCCGAUAGUCAGUGUCAUGACCUUGUGUCCCCUUCAGCAUGGACUUCCUGUGGCCC
rnacentral:sRNA from 1 species